CUCAGCUAGAAAGAAGAGUAAACGAGUGAAAAUCAGCUCAGAGUGAGAAAGAAAAAAGCAGCUUUGCUAUUAAUUGGGCUGAGGUGACGGGCACAGAUAAAAACAAACGUGAAAUUAACAGGAAAUACUGUUUCUCCCAAAGUCAUACAGCAGCUGUAAAAUACCAAAAAGAGACCAUCUUCUCGUUACUACUGCUUUCUUGCCAAUGACCCUAGACCCACUUUACCAUUUACAUCUAUUACUAUUUUCAUCUGUUACAUCUAAUUCAUCUAUUACUUCCAACUGCUAAGAUGCCCCUGCUAUUACAUACAUAGGGGUGCACCCAUGUCCCCAUCCUUCACAUACUCCAGCUUCACUCCUGCCUUGAAUCCACCUGUGCGUCCCGCCUCUCCACCGUCGUUUGAAAUCCACUAAAUCCCGCCCCGCUGCUAUGCACGCUCCCCAUAGGACCCAGACGCAGCUCUCACAGUCCCCAUUGGUCCUAUCCUCACUUGAACACCAAUCUAGAAUCCUCCACCAUCCAUCCAAUUCUAUAGAGCACGGCCCUUCUCUUCUCAUUGGCCAGUUUGGUUCCACUCAGGUUCGCCCCAUCCACGGAGGGGUGGUAAAGGCAGUGCUCCGGGGUACUGGAGCAGCGGGAGUCUCAGGUAUGAGUCUAUUCUCGGGACUAGGAAGGUUACAACUUGGGCGAUCUUUCUACGUGCAGAGCGAGGCAUUCCAAGCGAUCUAUAAGGACCUGGUGUCUGCCAUGUCUUGUGCCCCUCCUGGAUUCCGCUAG
rnacentral:lncRNA from 1 species